AUUGUGAGAGACUUUGAUGGAGAAAUGGUACGUUUGGCUCUCACCACUGGCCAUGGAUGGCCAUUUAUCUUUAAGAAAGUUGGAAAAUCAGCCAUGGAGAUUGAACAAGUUGUUCAUAAUUAGAUUGAAAGCAAUCAUUAUGCAUGAACUAGUAGUUACUACAUAAUAUUAGCUUCAAGUAAAUAAUGCUGAGGGAACUUAUUGUUAAGAUUGCCUUGUUUGAAGCGGCAGCAUGUAUAUAUAUAUGCUUGCUUACAAGGUUUGUCUCUCAGAGUCCUCCUCUUUGUACUCUUUUCAGCUUAAUGAAUAAACUGUUUACUUAUUUACUUCUUUUGUUGCCAUUGAUUCUAGUAGCAUUCGACUCAUUAACUUGGAUACAUUACCUUGUAAUUAACCAAAAAGUUAUGUGUAUAUAUAUAAAGAGUGUGUGAGAGAAAAAAUAGAAUACCAAGUACCAAGUGAAAAAUGUUAAUACUAGGAUUAUUCAAAGCGAUUUCAAUGAACAGAAAUGGAAUAGUCGUCGGGUGGUUAGGGCAUUUUAUCUUUAGAGAUAAAGAAGGUUGGUUCAUGUUCGGAGUUUGUGGCUACUCCUUCAAUAAUAUCGUUUUUAAAGUUUAAACUUGUAUCACAUUUUAAACACGUAAUGUAUCUUACCAUUACAUCCAACAAUAUUAACCAUUUACUCUAUUGUAUUGUAUUGUAUUCUAUUAUUAAUUAAUGAUUAUGAUAUGUAUUAAGUUUAAGAUGAAUUUUCUCAGUAAUAUAUAUCAAUGGAAUCAAAUAUUUGUAUUUAAAGUUUUAACUCCACAUUAACUUUUUCUUUAUUUUGUCCGUUUGCUGGCGAUGAUUAGGAGAUUAAUGGUUGGUAUUUGUGGUUAGUAGGUUAUAACUCAAUAGUGAACUCGAGGGUUGAUAGUGGCCCGACUCCACUUAAAUAAAAAAUUUUACAUUUAAAUCUCUUUAUAAUUUAUAAAAUUUUAAAUUAAUAAUAAAAAAAUUAUAUUUUAACUCUCUAAAAUUAAUAAAAAUGAUAAAAAUGUAGAAGUAAAUUUAUACAAUUAAUGAUAAUAAUGAUAAGAAGUUGUUUCCUGUCACAUGGAAAUUUAUGGCAUCGUCCAUUUGGUUUUAUAUUUGUCCAUUUGCUUGGUUAAGAGUUGAAAGACAAACUAUAAUUAAGUAUACAAAACCAAACGAAUUUCAAGGGUUUUCUCUUCAAUUAUUGUCGAAUUUAGCUAAUUAUUAGUAAUUUUUAUUAUUUAAUUAUAAAAAUUAUAAAAUAAUGACUUAAUUAUAAGAAUUAUAAAAUAGUGACUUAAUUAUAAAAAUAUAUAUAAAUAGCCAUCUAAUUAUUUAAUUUUUUUUCUUUUUUAUCAUCACCGGAUUAAUGGUGGUAAUUUUUAUAAUUGACAUAAUAGUAACUUUAACCAUUAAUAAUUAUACAUUAUGUCAAUUUAGUCUUGAUUCUAAAAAAUUUAACCUUUGACAUUUACACAUAUAUAAUUUGACAUUUUUAUAAUUUUAUUUUUUACUAAAAAUAAAUCAUGAAAAUAAUAAAAUAUGCAUAAAAAUAAAAAUACAGCUACCGAGUAUAUGUCUUAAUGUAGAUUUAUAACAAUUAUCUUUUCAUAAAGAUAUUUUAUUAUAAAAUAUAUAAUAAGCACUUCCCUGUAACAAAUAAAAUUGUAGUAAACAAAUGAAAUUAUUAUAAAGAAGAAUUUUCUAUUUUCAUAAUAAUAAUAAUAAUAAUAAUAAUAAAAGAAAAGAAAAAAGUGGUUCUAUUAAUUCACCUCACAUUUGAAAUGUGUUAUAUGUAAUAAUAUUAAUGUCUUUAUCAAUUUUGGUGGUUCAUCCUUUCCCAUCUCUAUAAACACUACACCAGAAUAGGUUUUUAGCGGCGUUUUUUAGGCCUUUAGCGACGCUUAUUAACGCCACUAAAUCUAUUUCCGGCACUUACAAAAAAAAGCCGCUAAAGAUCAUGUUCUUUAGCGGCGCUUAGGAAAAAACGCCGCAAAAAAUCAUGUUCUUUAGCGGCGCUUAGAAAAAAACGCCGCUAAAGAUCAUGUUCUUUAACGGCGCUUAGAAAAAAACGCCGCUAAAGAUCAUGUUCUUUAGCGGCGCUUUGGAAGAAAACACCUCUAAAAGUAAUGUUCUAUAGCGGCGCUUGUUCAAAAACGCCGCUAAAAGUAGUGUUCUUUAGCGUCGCUUGUUUCACAAACGCCACUGUUUUGAUAUGACUUUUAGCGGCGCUUUUUUAAAAAAUGUCACUAAUUUUGGGAUUUUUUUAAAAUAAAAUUUUCUGUUUUUUUCAGCCCUCCUGCAACAACAAAUCAAAAGCAACCAGAUCUAAACUAACCAAAAAUAAUAAAUUUAUAUAAUAUUUCAAAUUAAAUGAAUAAAAUAAUAUUAAUUGAUAUAAAUAAAAGUGAAUUUCAGACUUUUCUUUACAAAAACGUUAAAAGUAUUUAUGCAACAUACACUAUGACGGCGGAAGUUGCGACUGCUGAAACAUCUUCAUCAUAAUCUAAAGCUGCUGUUGAAGUUCGUCGUACUUUUUGCUCUACUUUGCUUCUCUCGAUGCCGCAUCUUUUUGAAGCCGUAGCUGUAGUUCUUCACAUUUCUUUUGAACCUCUGCUUCUAUCGCUGCUUAUCUCGCUACGGCAUCUGCUUCCCUCACUGCUGCCUCUGAUUUAAGUUGUUGCUGAAGUUCUUCAUAUUUCCUUUGAACCUCAAAUGUGGUCGCUUGCAUCUGAGUCAUCUAGUCUUUUAACCUCUGAACUUCAGCUUGAGACUGACUCCCCGAAGCCAUGUAUUGGUGCGAGCUGGAUCCAAAAUAUUGGGUUGGGCUGAUAAAAGAUCCUUGAAAUCGAACCCGACCAUACUUUUCAGGACCCAAAACUUUAGUAAUAAUCCGGUUAUCAAUGUCUUCAAGAUGAAUAGAACUAUCACUAGAAGCAAUCGUUUCGUACUCUGUCUUUUUUUCCUUCAGUUUUUCCUAAUAAAUAAAUCACAUAGUUAGGAACGCAAUAUAUAGUAAAAAAAACAAAUGCAAUAUAACAAUAGUCGCAUUACAAGCAAUGAAUUAAACCAUUAGAAAAUAAACACUAUAAAUAACUAAAACAAGUGAAAUCGUAUUAAGUAAACGUACCAUAAUUUCACCAGCUUCAGGAGUCAUAGCAGAUCCAUCUUUCUUCUUAUGUGUAAUUUCAAAAAGUUGAAGGCGUCCAACUUUUUGAUCGGACGACCGUUCCUACAACACUCUUUUUUAAGUUUUUAUUGGGGGAUAUUUGCUUGAUGUAAGUGAGAUAUUUUGGAGAGAGUGAUUUGUAAUAAUUUAGGUUCAAUAUUGAAGUUGCAAAUAACUAUAAGGUAAUGGUAAUUUAGACUUUAGUCAAUAGUUAAUCAAGACGAAUUGUAAAUAAAAAUUAUUUUUUAAGCGAAACUCUACAGAAUAAAACUAGUGAACUCAAACUACUGAACUCAAACUACGCUAACAAAUAUUACAUAUUAUCUUUCCUUACUUUACUUGUUGCUUUACCUUAUUUUAAAAUUGUUUUGUCAUAAAUGUAUUAUGUUUGAACCUUUCCGAUCGAAAUAAAAAAAAUGAGAUUGAAAUUGUGAUAAAGCUAAAAAAAGGUUACAACAAAUAUGAUUAAUAUUAUUUUUAUAUAUACUUAAUAAAAGUUAAAAAGGGAAUUACAUUUAUUGAAUAUUAUUUUAUUUAAUAAAAUAUAAUUACUAUAUUUUAUAUAAAAUUUAAAUAUUUUAUUGUUUGUUAGUUAAAUUUUAUUUUUUUUUAUUUUCUUUAUGAAUAAAAUUAAUUUUCCUAAAAUUUGAGAUAAAAAAUGUUAUAUAGAAAAUUAAAUUAGUAAAAAGUUAAAAAAAUCAAUUCUAAAAUAAACUUAACUAUUAUAAUAAAAUAUUUUUAUAUAAAAAAAAAGAAAUUAUAGAAAAGACUUAUUGAAUAUAUUUCCUAUUUUCGACAUUCAUAAAAAAAAAAAAGUGGUCCUAAUAAUUUUUUUAUACAAAACAAAAAAAAGUGGUCCUAUUAAUUUACCUCACAUUUGAAAUGUGUUAUAUGUAAUAAUAUUAAUAUCUUUAUCAAUUUUGGAGGUUCAUCCUUUCCCAUCUCUAUAAAUUUGCAUGCAGAACUAAAGCAACACAUAUCAACACAAUCUGUAUAACCAUGAAAACCACAACAGCUUCGGUGUUUCUUCUUUUCAUCAUCUUCUCAAUCACACCAUUGUCCUUUUCGUUUGGUGUGGCCAACACUUCAAACGCUCCUGUGCUCGACAGUGAUGGCAACGAGCUCCGCACAGGCACCCCAUACUUCGUUGUGUCGUCGAUAUGGGGUGCUGGUGGUGGGGGGCUUGCCCUAGGCAUGCCUAGAGGAAAGCCAUGCCCGGAAGUCGUUGCUCAAAGAGGAUCUGGUGACGAUGGUAUUCCGGUGAUAUUUUCUAAUUCGGACUCCAACGAUGGCGUUGUUCGCCUAUCCUCUGACAUAAACAUAGAGUUCAUUCCCCUCAGACCCAGAUUUUGCCAAACAACAACGGUGUGGAAGGUCGAUGAUUACGACCACUCAGCCGGAAAAUGGUGGGUGAUAACCGAUGGGGUUAAAGGGAACCCAGGUGCCAACACUUUGACCAGUUGGUUUAGAAUAGAGAAGGCGAGUCAUCUUGAUUACACAUUUAAGUACUGCCCCGCAGUAUGUGGAACAUGCCCGGCUUUAUGCAACAAAAUUGCGAGAGACUUAGAUGGAGAAAUGAUGCGUUUGGCUCUCUCCACUGACCAUGGAUGGCCAUUUUUCUUUAAGAAACUUCAAACAUCAGCCAUGGAGAUUGAACAAGUUGUUCAUAAUUAGAUUGAAAGCAAUCAUUAUGCAUGAACUAGUAGUUACUAUACAAUAUUAGCUUCAAGUAAAUAAUGCUGAGAGAACUGAUUGUUAAGAUUGCCUUGUUUGAAGCAGAAGCAUGCAUAUAUAUAUGCUUGCCUACAAGGUUUGUCUCUCAGAAUCCUCUUUGUACUCUUUUCAGCUUAAUAUAUAAACUGUCUACUUAUUUACUUCUUUUAUUAAUGUCAUUGAUUCUAGUAGUAUUAGACUCAUUAACUUGGAUACAUUGUCUUGUAAUUAACCCAAAAAUUAUAUAUAUAUCAAAAAAAAAAAUGAGAGUGAGAGAGGAAAAUAGACUACCAAGUAACAAGUGAAAAAUGGUAAUACUAGGGUUAUUUAGAGUGGUUUCAAUGCACAACCGGAAUGAAUUGUUACCUUAUCUUUAGAGUCAAAGAAGGGUUCGUGACUAGUCUUUCAACAAUACUAUUUUCAAGGUUCAAACCUGCAUUAUCCUUUAAAUACGUAAUGUAUUUUAUCAUUACGCUCAAUAUUAUUAGUGAUUUACUUUAUUCUAUUCUUAAUUAAUAAUUAUGAUAUAUAUAAAGUUUAAGAUGGAUUUUCUUAUUUAUGUAUAUCAAUUAAAUCAAAUAUUUGUAUUUAAAGUUUUAACCCAACAUUAACUUUUUUUUUAAAAAUUUCUUCGUUUGUUGGUGGUGAUUAGGAGAUUGAUGGCCGGUCUUUGUGAUUGGUAGCUUUUAACACAAUGGCGAAGCUAAGGAGGCUUUAAAUGUUUAAAUGAAUAUUUUUUUCAAUUGAAAUUUCUUUAUAAUUUAUAAAAUUUUAAAUUAAUAAUGAUAAAAUUACAUUUUAAUUUUUUAAAAAUGAUAAAAACGUGGAAGCACAUUUGUACGAUUAAUAAUAAUGAUAAUAUUUUUCCUACCACAUGGAAGUUUAUGGAAACACCAUUGGGUUUUGUAUUUAUGUUUUAUUCGACACUCUUAUAAGUUUUACUGGGGAGAUUUGUUUGAUUGUAAGUGAGGUAUUUUGCGGAGAGUGAUUUAUAAUAAUUUAAAAUUAAUAUUGGGGUUACAAAUAACUAUGGGAGUAAAGUAGUUUAGACUUUAGCUAAUAAUUGAUCAAGAUGGAUUGUAGAAUAAAAUCAUUUUCGAAGCAAAAUUUUAUAAAAUUAGUAAAUCUGAAUUAUUCUAUAAUAUUGAUAUUAUCUUUCUUCACUUUAGCCCUUGCUUCACCUUAUCUCAAAAUUAUUCUAUAAUAAUCUAUUUUGUCUCAACCUUUUCAACAGAAUUUAAAAUGAAACUAUUUCUAUGAAGUGCAAACCAAAAACUUUUUCACAUACCAAUAAAUGGCAAGCAACCAUACCGUGGGCCCAAUGUCCCAACAAUCAUCUAAACAUUUUUUUUUUCUUUUUUAAAUAAUAUGUAAUAAUUUAUAUACCAUAAAUGAAUAUUAAUUAAAAUAAUAUAAACAAAAUACGACUCUUUAAUAUAAUAUGGAUCCAAAAUGUUUCAUAUUUGAAAUGCAGUUUUUGAUAAUUUCACAUUUCAUAUUUUAUCUUAGAACAAAAAGAAAAUUUGAACUUAAUAUUUGGACUAUUGAUCAAUGGUGUUUAUUAUAUUUCAAGACUAUCAGAUUAAUCUGUCGAUACUACUUAUAUGGUAUGGUUUAAAUGGGUGUGUGUGGAUAUAGAAAUUUGAAAUUCUAUUGUAUCAAAGAAAUUUUUUUUAAAAAUAAAAUAAAAAGGAAUUUGAAAUUUAAAAUUUGAGAUCAAAAUAAAAAAAAUGAGACUUGUUAUAAACCAUAAGGCUCAAAAAAGGUUACAACAAAUAUGGUUAAUAUUAUUUUUAUAUAUACUUAAUAAAAGUUUAAAAUAUCAAAUUUGUAAUAUUAUUUUUAUUUAAUAAAAUAUAAUUAAUAUAUUUUAUAUAAAAUUUAAAUAUUUUAUUGAAAUAUUAUGUUAGGUAAAUUUUAUUAAUUUUAUUUUCUUUAUAAAUAAAAUUAAUUUUAUUAAAAUUUGAGAUAAGAUAAUUAAAUUAAUAAAAGGUAUACUUCAUAUUUUAUAGUUAUUAUAAAUAAAAAAUUAUUAUAAAAAUUAAAAAAAAAGAAUUCUACAACAUAAUGAAAUAUUUUUAUUAAAAAAAACAGAAAUGAUUGAUGGAAUAUAUUUCCAAUUUUCGACGUUCAUUAAAAAAAAAAGAGUGGUCCUAAUAAUUGAUUUAUUGGGGAAAAAAAAGUGGUCCUACUAAUUUACCUCACAUUUGAAAUGUGUUAUAUGUAAUAAUAUUAAUAUCUUUAUCAAUUUUGGAGGUUCAUCCUUUCCCAUCUCUAUAAAUUCGCAUCGAGAAAUAAAGCAAUACAUCAACGCAAUCUGUAUAACCAUGAAAACCACAACAGCUUCAGUGUUUCUUCUUUUCAUCAUCUUCUCAGUCACACCAUCAUCUUUUUUGUUUGGUGUAGCCAACGCUACAAACGAACCUGUACUCGACAUUGAUGGCAACGAGGUUCAAACAGGCACCCCAUAUUACGUUGUGUCGUCCAUAUGGGGUGCUGGUGGUGGGGGGCUUGCCCUAGGCAGGCCUAGCGGAAACCCAUGCCCGGAAGUCGUUGCUCAAAGACGAUCCGGUGACGAUGGUAUUCCGGUGAUAUUUUCUAAUUCGGACUCCAACGAUGGCGUUGUUCGCCUAUCCUCUGACAUAAACAUAGAGUUCAUUCCCCUCAGACCCAAACUUUGCCGAACAACAACGGUGUGGAAGGUCGAUGAUUACGACCAUUCAGCCGGAAAAUGGUGGGUGAUAACGGAUGGGGUUAAAGGGAACCCGGGUGCCAACACUUUGACCAGUUGGUUUAGGAUAGAGAAGGCGGGUGAUCUUGAUUACACAUUUAAGUACUGCCCUGCAGUAUGUGGAACAUGCCCAGCUUUAUGCAACAAAAUUACGAGAGACUCAGAUGGAGAAAUGGUACGUUUGGCUCUCUCCACUGGCAAUGGAUGGCCAUUUUACUUUAAGAAAGUUGGAAAAUCAGCCAUGGAGAUUCAACAAGUUGCUCGUAAUUAGAUUGAAAGCAAUCAUUAUGCAUGAACUAGUAGUUACUACAUAAUAUUAGCUUCAAGUAAAUAAUGCUGAGAGAACUUAUUGUUAAGAUUGCCUUGUUUGAAGCGGCAGCAUGUAUAUAUAUAUAUGCUUGCUUACAAGGUUAAUUUGUCUCUCAGAGUCCUCUUUGUACUCUUUUCAGCUUAAUGAAUAAACUGUUUACUUAUUUACUUCUUUUGUUGCCAUUGAUUCUAGUAGCAUUCGACUCAUUAACUUGGAUACAUUACCUUGUAAUUAACCAAAAAGUUAUGUAUAUAUAUAUAUAUAUCAAAACAAAACAAAAAAGAGAGUGAGAGAGGAAAAUAGACUACCAAGUACCAAGUGAAAAAUGGUAAUACUAAAUUUCCAGAUAUAUGGCAUUGUUUGUGUGUGACAAACACCAAGUAUAAAUAGGUGGAAGUAUGACUACUUAUCAAGAGUGGUAUGGUUCAAAAACUACCCCUAUCGAAUUAUUUCAUCCUACUCAUUCGUUAUCGAUAGGAAGAAGGAUACUUCCAACAAGAAAUAUUUUGAAGGGUUAGUGUUGAGUUAGCUAAAAAUCAAAGUUUAUCAGAAGCUCGAUCUAAAAUUCGCCAAAAGGAGGAUUAUUCAAAGCGAUUUCAAUAGACAACGGGAAUGGAAUAGUCUUUGAGUGGUUAGGGCACCUUAUCUUUUGAGAUAAAGAAGGGUUGGUCCAUGUUUGCAGUUCGUGACUAAUCCUUACAACAAUGUCGUUUUCAAGGAUUGAACAUGUGUCAUCCUUUGAACAUGUAAUGUGUCUUACAAUUACACCUAACAUUGUUGGUGAUUUACUUUAUUAUAUUCUUAAUUAAUAAUUAUGAUAUAUAGUAUGUUUAAGAUGCAUUUUCUUAUUCAUGUAUAUCAAUUGAAUCAAAUAUUUGUAUUUAAAAUUUUAACUCGACAUAUCGAAGGUCUGCUACUCUAGCACGUCUUUGGUCUGCUGCUCUAGCAUGUUUUGGUUUUUUUAGGGUUUUUUUGGCUUAUUUCUCUUUGUUCUAGCGAUGACAGUUCUUGGGAUAGAGUAUUUCUUUUCAAUCUGGUUGAUUUUGAUUCGUGGCAAUGGAGGAUGAAUUGGCAGAGUUAACAUUGGAAGAUGAGGAAUAGGAGAUUUUGCAAGUACAGAAGGAAACUGAUUCUGCGACAGUGGUUUAAGAUCUUUGUCUGGUUGGAUACUUUCUCACAACGAGUGUAAUCCACUUUAUGACAAUGAGAAGCGCGAUGGCAAAUCUAUGGCAUCCUCUUAGAGGAGUUCAGAUCUCUAAUUUGGGGGAUAAGAAAUUAUUUCAAUUUUUUCAUAAAAUGGAUAUUGAUAGGGUACUAAAUGGGGAUCCAUGGACUUUCAAUAAUCAUCUUUUGGUGAUUCAUUUUUUGGAGGAUGGUGAGGAUCCGAUGAAGGUACCGCUAAUCUAUACGACUUUUAAGGUGCAAGUGCAUGAUUUACCCCCAGGGUUUUUUACUGAAUCUAUAGCAAAGAAGUUAGGCAAUUUUAAGGGUAAGUUUUUUGGAUCAAUGGAAAAAGCUUGGGUAAGGGCCUCAGGAAUUUCUUACAUAUACGGGUUUAGAUGGAUGUUAGAUGCUAUUUGAAGCGAAAAAAGAAGAUUAUGUUUUCACUUGGCAAGUGUUCCUAUGUCAACUUGAUAUACGAAUGACUAACUCUAUUCUAUUUUGUCUAUGGUUGUUUGGUAGACAAUGACUCUUUCUGUCAAGUUAGAAUGGCUAAAGGCUUAGAAGUUGUAGAGAUGGGAUGGUAUCUGUCUCUAAAAGCCCAGUCUAGGAGAGCUACUACGAUGAACAGCGUGUGGCUGCGGGAGGAAGGUAAAGGUGAGAUAAAGGGAAAUACCAUAGGACAUUUUGAUUUAGGGUAGGGAUUGUGGAAGGAUGGAAGGAAAGAAUCUAGGAUGCCCAUAGAUCUGUGUUGGGGUUAAAUUUGGAGGGUGGUUUGAAGUUAGUGUCGGGUAUGCAAGGGAACUCUUCAACGAUACAAGAUCAUUCGAAUAUGGAUCACGACUCAGAGGAAUGCGCUAUAAAAGGUAAAGAUGGGAAAAAAAGACCCAAAAAGGAUAAUGGAAAUCAUAGUGUUUCGAUUGUGACAGAUUCACUUGUGAUUAGAGAUGAGAGAUUGUUGGGACGAACUCACUUUUUAUCGGCAGCUGCCAAGGGGCAAGAUGAUCAGUCACAAUAAAAAUAAUUAGUUGGAACAUCCGUUGAUUGGGGUGUCCACAGGCUAUAAGAAGGCUUUGACAUAUGUUGAAGGUGUAUAAUCCCCAAGUGGUCUUCUUUAUGGAGACAAAAAUUAGUAAUGUGCAAAUAGAGAAUGUGCAUAGAAGGUGUGGAUUUUUAAAUGGUAUUGAUGUUUCGGCCGAUGGUUCAAGAGGAGGUCAUUUUCUAGCUUGGAAGGAAAAUGUUAAAACGAAUCUAAUGAGUUAUUCUAGUAGUCAUGUAGAUGUUGUAUUUUAGAAGAUUGAUAAUGGAGGUUUGCUGGCUUUUAUGGGACAUCAAAUGCGUGUAGCAGAGACGAUUCAUGGAAUUUGUUAAGAAAUCUAGGACGCUCUCAAGCGUUCCCUUGGCUAGUGUGUGACAAUUUUAAUGAAAUUAUAUACUCUUUUGAAAAGGUUGGGGUGCCAAGAGAGGAGAAGAGAAUAGAGGUCUUUUGAGGAGUCUUAUAGGAAUGUUAGUUAAUGGACAUUGGAUACUUUAGGGCUAGGUUUACCUGGGAAAGGGGAAACUUACCGAAAACGAAUAUGAGAGAGCGACUGGAUAGAGGAGUGGCGAAUGCCGAAUGGAUGAACAUGUUUUCUAGUGCAGUGGUUUAGCAUUUACCACAUUCUUUUCCAGAUCAUUGUCCCCUUUUUAAUCAUACGGAGCAGGAGAGUAAUAGGUUGAGGCAGAAAAGGUUUCAGUCCGAGGCAUGGUGGGUGAUGUAAGAAUCUUUUGAGGAGGAGGUUAAACAAAUAUGUCAAUCUACUUCGGGUGAUAUGUUGGCUAAGCUAGAAGGUGUGAGGAAGGGCUUAGUGAGAUGGGCGGGUUUUGUUAGAAAUAAAAGAGAGGGCCUUAAAAGGAAUUUGACUAGAAAAUUGGAGGAGAUGAUGGGAAAGGAUAGAGAUGAUGAGAAUAUUGUUGAACUAUCUUAAAAUUCUCUUGUCAUAACUUGAAGUUUGUGUCAUUUAAUAUAAGAAUACAAUUAAUGCCUGCAAUAAUGUUGGCAGGUAUAAUUAUUGUUGUAUCAAACAAAACAAUCUCAUGUAUGACUUCAAAUAUAAAACAAAAUAAUAAUUAAUUCGAAUAAAGGUAAACCCUAAGAUACCAAUCACUCCAUUAAUAUUUCAUUUUUGAACAAAUAUAUUAAGUUGUAAAUGAUAUCUUGGUGUAGUAAUUAAACACCGACAAUAAGCGUCACAUGUUUAUUACAACAGUUGCAAAUGUAAUUUUGUUAAAUAUUAGCCUCCAUUUAGGCCAGUCAAUAUUAACAUAACUUAAGUUACAUACACACAACCCCAAAAUUAUAAAAGUCCUAUUGUUAAAUUGAUUUGGUUCCUUUGACAUAGGAAAGCCGAAUUGCAUAAACAAUCAAUGUAUCCCCUAUUUUAUUCAUGUUUAUCACAAUGUUUGAAGGAGUGCUCACUCUUUUAGGGCGUGUUUACCAUUGAGGUUGAAAAGUAUCAUUAAACCCAAACAAUUAUUUCAAACCAAACAUUAAUUUUAAACUAGGAUUUUAGGCCAACCCAAAACUUCUAGCUUUUACUUUUUGGAAAGGUGCUUUUCAAUUAAAAACCUUUUUAUUCCUCGUUAAACUUUCUACUUUAUAACAUAAUGUCUAAAAUGGAAAUUUUAUUUUUCUAAAAACACUUAUAGACAACAAUAAUAAUUACUAUUAAUUUUUUCAAAAUCACUUUUCUACGGCACUGUUAAACUUAAAUGAUAAUCUAGCCUUUUAACCACUCUUUUCUAACAGAGAGCUUAUCUCUUAGCAAUAGUUUGGGCAAACAAAAAUAAUGUAUAUAUGAAAACGAAUAUUGAAUUUGAAUGUACAAUCAAUUUUCUGAAUAAUUAAUUAAAAAGAAUGUUUGAAUUCAAAAAUUUUAAAAAUUUUGAUAAAAAAUGUGGAAGCGCAGACUUGUGUGAUGAAUAGUAAUGAUAAUAAUGAUAGAAGCUGUUUCCUGGCACGAGGAACUUAUGGAAUUCGUCCAUUUGGUUCUAUAUUAGCCCUGUUGCUUCCGUGUUUAAGAGUAAAACGACAAAAUAUUAAGUAGAAAACACCAAACGAAUUGAACUAUUUUCUUAAGAUGGUGUCGGUAAUGUAUCUGUGGAUACCCAUUUGAAUUUUUAAAAAACUGAAAAAAUUAAUUUAUUUUUUAGAUUGAAUCAGCAGCAGGAAAAUAAGAAAAAAUACAACUUUGAGUUUGAGUUUGGAACUCUGAGAUUUCGCUCGGUGAUCUGAAUGGUGAGGUGGUAUGUUUAAAUACGGAGAAUAAUAUAUAUUCGACUAGCAACAAUCUGAUGGAGUGAAAUAGGAACUGAAAAAAAGGGUAAUUUAAAGUUUUGGUCAUUGUUUUAAAAGAUUACCUUCAGUCAUUAUAUUUUUCAGUUUUGGAAUUCCAGUACUACUUAAAUUGUAAUUGUUAAAUCUAUUUACUAUAAUGAUAUAAAAUUUUUAUGAAUAUUAACACUAUUAUUUUUUUUAAAGCACUUAUUCAUGGCACAAGGAACUUAUGAUGAAUAGUAAUGAUAAUAAUGAUAGAAGUUGUUUUUCUGGCACAAGGAACUUAUGAUGAAUAGUAAUGAUAAUAAUGAUAGAAGUUGUUUUCCUGGCACAAGCAACUUAUGGGAUUCGUCCAUUUGGUUCUAUAUUUCUCCGCUUGCUUGAGCGUUUAAGAGUUAAAGGACAAAUUAUUAAGUAGAAAACACCAAACGAAUUGGAAGGCUUUUGUCUUCUUCAAUUGGUAUGACCUAUAUUUCUUAUUAAACUUCGUAUUUUACAUUCAAUAUCAUCAUCACAAUCAUUUUAAUUUAUUUUCAUGAAUAAACUUUUAUGUCUCAUUUUAAUUGAAUCAUUAAAAUUUAUUAAUUGAAUUUUUUUUUAAGAUGGUACCGUUAAUGUGUCAAGUGAUAUCAAUUUAAAUUUUUAAAAAAAGUUGUUUGAAUUAAUUUGAUUUCAUUCGGUAAUCCAAACAGUGAGAUAGUGUGUUUAACUACGGGGAAUAACAUAUAUCCAAAUGGUGACAAUCUGGUGGAGCGAAACAGAUAUCGAAGAAAGAGUAGUUUAAUGAAUUUGGAGUCGACUUCUGGAAAAUCUGAAUUAUAGAAGUGAACGAAGAGGAAAUCUCUUCUUUGGUGCCGUAAUCGACAUAAACGGCCAUUAUGAAUGGCAACAUCGAUAAUUAUUGAGUACAAUGAUUAAAAUUUUCAGUUAAAAAAAAGGAAUGGAAAGGAAAACAAAAAGAAAAACGUGGAAAGAAAGAAAGAAUAAUAAUAAUUAAUUAAUAAAUAAAAAGAGAAUUGUGGGGGCGAUGCUUUUGAACAAAUCUUGAUUUAAACUAUGUAAAGAAAAUAUGCGUUAUAUAUAUAAUUAAUUAUGCACUUAUACUUAAUAUAUUAUAUAUUUAAUGUCAUAUUUUCAUAUUCUCGGGAAGUGGUAAUAUACAAGUACUUGAUUUGAUUUAUUUCUUGAUCGCUUCGUGAAUUUUAUGUUUGUAACAAUAGGGACAGAAUUUCUUCAAUUCCAAUCGACUGGGCGUAUUGUGUCAAUUUUUUUUGAGUAAUAUACCUAGAAAUACCCGUUGAUUCCUUAUAAACGCCGUUUCAAACACAACUGGUACACCCCAAAAUAACCGUUACUCAGACAUCUUUACUAUUGACCAUGAACCUCCUUUGAGUUUUUAAUUCACCUAACUUUUCUAUUUUUCAAUCAAAAGCGAAGAAGAAAGGAAUGAAAAAAAGAAAGAAAUCAAAGUUGCUAACUCAAAACAAAUCCUGACAAUUUUGGUUGCAAUCAAUAUAGCAAGUCAAUAUAAAUUUAUAGUAAUAGCAAAUAAUAAGAAUAAGUAAUACAACGAUUUCUAACUCUAUUUAGAAUCAAAUCAGAGUAUGGUAUUUUCUUUAAUCAAUUAAUUGAAUUCAAAAUAUUCAAUUAAAAUAAAUUAAAUUGUAUAAAUUUUAUAAUUUUAAAUUAUUAUUUUUGUAUUAAUUUAAAACAAAAUAAAUAUUAUAUACAAUAAUUUAGUUGCAGCAUGUCAGCUUGAAGUCCAAGACCUUAUAACAUAUAAAUUUAAUAGAUAAUUAAUAACUAAAAAAUUAAAUAGCAAAAGCAUAAUUGCGCCACUUCUCACCAUUUUAGUGUAUGCAACUUAUUAUAUAUUUAUAUAUAUUAUCAUUUCAUUUUAAAUAAUUUAAUUUUUAUAUUAAUUUUUAUAAAUUUAGGGAUAAAUCUUAAAAUUAUACAUAAACUUUAAUUUAAUGUGUAAUUGCAUACAUAAACUUUAAUUUGGUACAAUUAUACACAUGAUACUCUAAUUGUGGUUCAAAUACAUACUUGAAACUUUAAUUUUGAUUUAAUCAUACACAUUUAAAUAAAUAAAUACAUCAAUUUAUUUUUAUAUUGGGUAAAUAUAUUUAUGUAUGCAAUAUAUAACAUAAAAUGAUGUUAUAUCAAUAAUUGUGUUAAUAAUUUUCAAGAAUUGGAUCAAAUCAAAAUUUCAUGUAUAAAAUUGCACAAAAUCAAAGUUCAUGUAUACAAUUGCACAUUAAACCAUAAUUCAUGUACAGUUUUAGUAUUUAUCCCAUAAUUUAUUAAAUAAACUUUUUACCUAUAUCAUAUAUAGAGUUGUCUGUGAACCGAGCCAAGGAAUGCCCGCUCGAAAAAAUGAGGGUUUAAGAAAAAAAAUAUGCCCAAAAAAAGGGCUUGGAUAAAAAGACAAGGCCCGUUUAGAAAAUGAAUCGGGCCUUUGCUAAGGUUUUUUUUGUCCAAGCUCAGCCCGACCCAAAUUUUCAAUAAAAAAACCCUACUGUUUUUACCGCUAUUUUUUCAUAUUUUGGUGUUGUUUUCUCACUUUUUGCCACUGGUUUACUAUCAUUUCACUAUUAUGUUACUACUAUUUUUUUUGUUAAUGUUUGGAUAUUGUAUAACACUUGUUUUAUUGUUAAUUUUGUCACUAUUUUAGAGGCAUUUGUUUGUUAUGUUGUACUUAUCUUAGUUUUUAUUUAAGUAUAAAAAAUUUUUAAAUUCUAUUUUCAAUUUAUUGGAAACAUGUAAUUUAAUAUUUGUAGUAUAUUUGGUGUAUUAUAAUAAUAUUUAUUAUUAAAAUAUUAAUAUUGAAUAUUUUCAAUAAUAUGUGAAGAAUAUUAUUUAAAAUUAUUUUUUAAAAUUUAUUAUUAAAUUAAAAUUGAAAUAUUAAAUAAUUUAUUAAAAUAAUUAAUUAUAUUAAUAAUUAAUUAUAUGACUAAAUAUAAAUAAUUAAAUAUGUAUGUUUAAUAAUAUUGAAAAAUAUAAUAUUUUAUAUUAAUAUUUUAAAUAUUUUUAAAAAUAAAAAUAAAAGUUAUUUUUAAUAUAAUAAUAUUAAGCUUGAUUUAAAUUAAUUUUUAUAUAAAAAUAAAAUUACCUAUAGAUGAGCUCAUUUUUUAGAAAAUGACUUACACUUUUCAAAAUGAUAAGUCAUUUUAUAGGAAAAAGAGCUAAUUUUACGUUGACCUAUAAGUCAUUUUCCGUUGACCAAACUGUUUUCUGUAAAACAAACAUAGAAAAAUGCAGAAAAUAGUUUCCGUAAAACUUUUUACAUGUAAACAAAUGGACCCUUAAUUCAAGCUUAUUCCAACAUAACCCACUUCACUAUUAGCAUGACUCUCCCUUAUACUAAAUUUAACCAUUAACCCUUCUCAUGAUUUCUAACAAAAAUUUUCAAGUUCUCUUUAAUGGCAACUUGUAUUAACUUCAACAAUAAGAAAUUCUAACUAUGGGGUUGGUUGUAUCAAGUUUCAUAGUUUAAAAAUCUAUAAAAAAAUUAUUGAGAAAAUAAUUUGUUUACCUUUGAUGGCCUUGAUGGAGAACAACUUGGUUUCUUCUUCUACUUAGUUUAAAGAAUGCAUGAAGAAGAAGAAGAUUUCCCCUCUCCCACUAUUUUAAAUAUAUAUAUAAAUAACCUAUUAAUCAAGGUAAUUAAGUCACUAAUUAACCUUAAUUAGUUAUGAUCUAAUGGCCAUAAACUUAUCAUGAGAAAAUUAGUGGAAAUGUGCGGCAUUGAUAAUGGUUUGCCAAUAAUCAAACUUUGGGCAUGGUAAUAUUGCAAUCAGGUUUUUGGUAUAAUUACACUUUUAAGUACUUGCUAAAUUCUGUAAUCAAUUCCCACUAGUUGGGUCACUUGAACAAUUGGGUCCAUGUACUAUAGUUACAACUUAUCCAAUUUAAUCAAUUAAUGAUUUGACUUUAUAAUUUCAUGUACAACACACAAACUCCUCUAGUAAAUUCUCGAGCUAGCUUUAUUUAAAAAUUUGGCCUCAAAAAUAGCUUUCCAAAUGUUCAUGAAAAUUGAGUCGUUACAUAUGGUAUUUGUUUUGUUCAGCUUAUUUGUCAGGCUCUAUAUCCUUUGAACUUAUGUUCGUUGACUUUGGUGUUGCUUAAAUGAAAAUGUGGUGAACAAUCUUAUGGAUAGGAGGAGUGUAUGAUUGAGUAUGUGUAACACCCUUAACCCACAUCCUUCGCCGAAUUAGAGUGACAGAGUGUUACUUGUAACACCCCAAACCCAGCCUAAACGUUAUGGUCGUAUCUGGCAAUGUCACACAAUAGUGUUUUUGAAACCUCGUUGUUACGUUGAAAACAUUUCAUGUUAUUAUCUUUAGUAAACAUUUGUUAGAACUUAGGAAGUCGUCUUUAUUCAUUUAAAACAUUUGUUUUGAAACAUCCCUCGUUGCGGAAGCUUUAAUAAAACAGUCUAAGUGAUCAUGCGUUUAGAAACUAUUUUAAUUUUUUGAAAACUGAAUUUCCUACGACCAACAGGUAUAAAUCCAUAAAGUAAAAUAAAUAAAUAAAAACCCAAAAUUUAAAACCAAAGUCCCAGAAGGUCCUUAAAUUACAACCCAAAUAAUCAAUAAUAAUUAAAUCAUAAAACGUAAAUUGAAAACCAUGAAGUCCAAAAAUUACUGUGGUCACCGCUGAGUCCUCCGUCGCACCGAUUCGUCUAAGUCUGGGGAUUACCUGUGCACGUUAAACAAAAAGGGUGAGUUUACGUAAAUUCAGUGUGUAGUCCCGCAGAAACAAAUAAACAAUCAGUAUUCACAGUGCACAGUUGAACAGUCUUGGGCCCAAGCCCAUCUCAGUACAAUGUCAAAAAUGCAGUAGCAGAAUCCUACCCAACCAACCUCCACACACUAUCUCCGCCCAACCCUACACUCCAUGUGGGGAUAUAAUCAACCCACCCAUCCCUACACUCCAAGUAGUACCGAAUGCGGCACAAAACAGUAGUUUGCAGCUGAGCUGCCAGUAAAUUAGGCUUAAAGCCUUUCAGUACACUUCCUCUGAAUAACAACCCCCAACCCGAUGCAAUGCAACAUACAAUAGAUGAUAUGCUAUUAUGCAAUUUCUGUACAUAUAUUUGGUUCAGAUAUUAACAUGCCCAGUAUAGAUAUCAUUCAGUCAAUUUCACACAUUUAGGGGUCUAAGUAGCGCUUACCGACCUUACAGUAGGUUCACAGUUGACUUGGGUGACCCGUACAACCUUAGAAACAUUCCGGUAAAAUUGGGCUACAUGCCCGUGUGUGCCCGUGUGGCCCACUCGGCCCAAUUUGGCCUUGGUCGUGUGAUCCAUUUUUAAUGUAACCCAUGCUAGCUAAAUAUUCAUAUAUGUUUUCACUAUUUACUUAUAUGUUCAUUUAAAGUUGUCUACUUGAGUCAUUGUCACUAAAUUAUUUAUACCUUGAGCUACAGAAUUCCAAAUUAAGAUCCGCUUGAUGUUUUCAAAACUAUACUCAAAUACCUUUCUACCAUAAAAUUUUCAAAUUUUAUAGUUUACCAAAUAAGUACAGUAAAAUCUUCAAAUUUAUCCCAAUUCUGCUAUUUGAUAGCUUCAACGUUUCCUUACUAAAAAUUAUUUAUCUCUUAGUACGGAAUUCGGAUGAUGUUUCCUUUGUUUCUCUUGAAAAUAGACUCGUUAAGGAUUUAAACAUAUAAAUUUAAGCCCCUAAUUAUUUUUUAAAAUUUUCGAUGAUUUUUCCAAAAUCAGAACAAGGAACCAAAACCCAUUCUAACAUUGUCUCACAAAAUUCAUUAUAUCUCAUAACUUAAAAUUUCAUUGCUUACACAGUUUCCUUCAUGAAAAACUAGACUCAAUAAAAUUUAAUAUCAUAUUUUAUUCAACCUCUAACUCAAUUUCCCCUAUUUUUGAUGAUUUUUCAAAGUUAGACUACUACUGCUGUCCAAAACUAUUUUAAUGCAGAAUGUUGAUUUCCAAGUUUAAAACACCCUUAUUUCCUUUCUCUACAAUUUUUUGCAUCAUUUUCUCUUAUUUCUCGUAUUUCUCGAUAGCAAGCAAUUUCAGCUUUUCGUUGAAUCCCAUUUUCUGCAUUUUGGGUACACACCUGGUAUCGUUUCUGAUGCGUAAGCACUCUUAAGCCUCCAGAACCUAAAAAUCGACCAAUAAAUCUCCAAAUUAAUCACUUAAUUCAUUUUUAAUCAACCAAUUUUGGAAGGAACUCGACUAAAAAAACCUAACAAAACCCUUACCUUGCUUCAGUAACCACGACUUCGCACAAUCAUAGUGUCGAUUCAAAACCACCAACCCCUUGAUUAACUCAUAAACACCAAAAAAGAAACCCCUUUUCAGAGAUUAACCAAGAACGAUUAACAAUAGAAAAAACUGUUACUUACCGAACACACGCAACCAACGAUGAACAACCAAAUCAAUUGGAAAAUAAUGAAAGAAAAGGAAGAGAAAAAAAUAAUGGAAAUUUCGGCAGCAACUAGGGGAAAGAAUCGGUAGAGGAGAGAAAAAAGAAGAAAAAAUCAGAAAAAGUUUGGGUAAUUGGAGAGAAAACCAAAACUCUACUUUUUUUUCUACAACAAAAAGAUAAUCAGAUUAUUUUCUGAUAACCUCUCCCCCAUUAUCUCCUAAAAUCACUCCUUAUUAACCCACUAAAACACAACUACUCAGAAUUUUACCCCAACACAACUCUUAGCCAAAAUUGGAGCAAAAAUACUGUCUCUACGCCAUCAUAGAGAAUUGAACAUAAGACCUCCUUCACACCAACACUCCAUUUAUCCACCAGACCAGCAAGCCCAUUCUGUUAAUUAUUUGUCAUCUUUUACUUAAAAGCCUACUGACCAAAGAUAGGGCUUAUUCAUAAAAAUACCAAAAUUUUCCCAAAACCUGGCUUGAACUUGGGACCUCUCACACACCCAAAACACUUAACCACUAAAGCAGAUACACAAUUGUGUCACACCUUCGUAAGAACAAAAAUAAAAAUUUUGGGACGUUACGUUACUAUACAAAAUAGAACAUUUCAUGACAACACAUAAAUAAUUAUGCAAAUUAUCACAAUCAUUAAUUAACCAUAUUAAAAUAUAACAUAAAUAUCCAUACGACCUUUAAAUCGAGCUUAUAUGUCCCUAAAAAUAGCUUGAGAUCAAUCUAGGAUCAAUUUUGAACAAAAACAUAAAUUUUAAAAAAACCCUAAAAAUUUUGGAAAACAUGGGUCACACAGCCGUGUGUCCAGGCCAUGUGACAUAGCCCAGACCUUGUGGGCAUUCAAAAUCAGGUAACGCAGUCAUGUCCCAGCCCGUAUGUCUACUUGUGUGAAUAUUCGAAAUAGGGUCUCACGGUCGUGUCGAGGAUCGUAUGCUAAACCGUGUGUAUAUUCAAAUUAUGGACACACGGCCGUGUCGCAGGCCAUGUGCUAGACCUUGCUCAAAACUAUUUUGAGACACACAGCUGUGUCUUAGACUGUGUGAAAUUUUCACUUUAAACAACAACACACAGCCGUAUCCUAAGCCGUGUGCACCAAAAUGUACCUUAAAAAUCAAAUUUACCAAAACAUGUUUACUUAGGCAUCAAGCAACCUAAUUACCAUCAAUUAAACUCAUUCAAAACACGAUUAAACAUGUUCAAAAUAUCCAUCCUAAGUUCCUAACCAUUGUGCCCUCAUUGACACCAUAAUUCAAUAAUCAAAUCAAUCACAUUUAAACCAAGAUUUAAACAUUCAAAUUAUAAAAUCACCAUUAACCAUUCAUACCAAAACACUACUCAUUUCAAGUCAUAAACACCUAGCAAUAUUCACAUACUUUAUAAAGCUUAACUACCAAUACCAAAUAAGAUCCAUACACACAUACAUACCAAACAAAACACAUAUUCACAAGUAUCAUUCAAGGUUUACAACUUUACAUGUAAUUAACAUGAUUUCAAGUCACUUAUUACAUGUCAUAUAACCCAAAACAAACAUUAAACAAACUACCAAUAGUUUCUCGAAUAGUUGAUUCUUGAUCUUGAUCUAUAAUAUAAUUUAUUUCAAUUAUUAGCCUCAAUUUUCAUAUUCUAAUCAUUUCAAUACAUAUGAUCUCUUGUUUACAAAUUUACAUAAUUACCCUAAAUUUUUACACAUUAUUCAAUUUAAUCCCUAUGACCAAAUCAAGCUUAGUUCUACAAUUAAAUUCUCAAUCCAUAGAACUAAAUUUUAACCACAUCCAAAACAAUUCAUAUAUGCUAAAAUUUUCAAGAGUAACAUGUCUAUUUCAAUUAAAUCACUAAACAUCAAAAUUUGUAAAAAUCACUUUACAAACUCAAUACAUAUCAUCACCAAGCUUCAACCCAAACUAUUUAAUAUUACAAAUCUUCAAAAUUUUCAAUACAUAAUUUCUAUACUUUGAUAACUUCACAAAUAAACUCCAAAACUAGCUAAAUUCCAUUAUCAAUAGCUCAAAACUUAAAUUUUAUGAUAAAUAAACCAAGAAAAUACUUACAUGCAUUAAAAACUAUCAAAAACCAAGCUCCCAAGCCUUAGAACAAAGGUGUUUCGGCCAAACCUAAGAAAAAUAAAGAAGAUGACCACUACCCCACUUUUGUUUUACUUUCUUUUUAUUAUUAUUAUAAUGUUUAUUUAUGAAAUUAUAACAUUAUCAAACACCAAUUUGAUAUUGUUUUUCUCUCUUUACCGCCCAUAUUAACUAACUAUGGGCUAAUGGCAACAUAACCCCCCUUAGUUUACUAAUUUAAGCUGUUAUAUUAAAAUAAAUCAAUAAUAAGCAACUUUUCCACCUAUUACAAAUUAAUCCUUUUUCUUUAAUCAAUUCACUAUACGUUAAAUUUUCUAAACCAAAACUUAAUAUAACACUGAUGACUUUGUAAAUAUUAAAUAAUUAAUAAUUUUAGAUUGACACGUCGAAAUUGUGGUCCUAAAAUCAUUAUUUUCAACACCACUAGAAAUCGGACUGUUAUAGUAUGGUUCUACCUCUUAGGGGGAGAUGUAUUCUAGUUUCCUUUCACUUGUUUAGAUGAUGUGUUAAUCAUUUGCUAUUGGUUUUGUCAAAAUGCCAAAUGGUGAGAUUGUUUGAACUUUGACUUCUUUUCUUAUUUCACUUCAUGUUCGAAGAGUAGAUUAAACCAUGCUUUGAUGCAUUCAAAGAAUUUAUGUUGGUAUAUUUGAUUUUAUAAUGAAAUGGCUUAUAGUUUAAUCUCGUUGAGUAGCAAAUGGGGAAGUGAUUUUGUAUUAUAACAUGUGAUGAUCAUUAUCUUUCAAUCAACUACCUUGGAAAAGAACGAGAGGAGUUUGAACUUUUGGGGACUUUCGUAAUAUUUGAAGCUGCUGAGAUAUUUGUUUAUAAAGACUUUUAUUUAUCAUUAAUCAAAAUAAUUCAUGAGAUAAUUUCAACCUUUAUAUUGGAGUUCUAAACUUAUGAAGACUCUAUUAUUGGCCUAUAAAUAGGCAUAAUUACCGCACAUUGAAAAUAGGCUUUUGGAGGGUUUGGAUACUUUGGUGAAUUUUUCAUUGGGCUAUAAAUAGGCAUAAUUACCGCACAUUGAAAAUAGGCUUUUGGAGGGUUUAAGUUGGAUACUUCAGUAAAUUUUUCUUGUGUUUUAUACCACACUCUUUUUAAGUUUUAUUGGAGAUAUUUAUUUGAUUGUAAGUGAGGUAUUUUGGAGAGAAUGAUUUAUAAUAAUUUAGGUUCAAUAUUAAAGUUGCAAAUAAUUACGGGUAAAAGUAAUUUGGACUGUAGUCAAUAGUUGAUCAAGACGAAUUGUAAAUUAAAAUUAUUUUCUAAGUAAAAUUCUACAAAAUAAAACUGGUAAAUUCAAACUGCGUUAAUAAAUAUUACAUAUUAUCUUUCCUUACUUUACUCGUUGCUUUACCUUAUUUUAAAAUUGUUUUGUUAUAAUCUAUUAUGUUUGAACCUUUUCGAUCGAAAUAAAAAAAAUGAGAUUGAAAUUGUGAUAAAGCUAAAAAAAGGUUACAACAAAUAUGAUUAAUAUUAUUUUUUAUAUAUACUUAAUAAAAGUUAAAAAGGGAAUUCCAUUUAUUGAAUAUUAUUUUAUUUAAUAAAAUAUAUUUUAUAUAUUUUAUAUAAAAUUUAAACAUUUUAUUGUUUGUUAGUUAAAUUUUAUUAUUUUUAUUUUCUUUAUGAAUAAAAAUAAUUUUCCUAAAAUAUGAGAUAAAAAAUGUUAUAGAGAAUUAAAUUAAUAAAAAGUACAGUUCAUACUUUAUAAUUAUUAUAAAUGAAAAAAUAUUAUGAAAAAAUAUUAAACAUAAAAAAUUAAUUCUAAAAUAAACUUAACUAUAAUAAAAUAAUUUUAUAUAAAAAAAGAAAUUAUAGAAAAGACUUAUUGAAUAUAUUUCCAAUUUUCGACAUUCAUAAAACAAAAAAUAAAAAAAGUGGUUCUAAUAAUUUAUUUAUACAAAAAAAAAAAAGUGGUCCUGACGUUCAUCCUUUCCCAUCUCUAUAAAUUUGCAUGCAGAACUAAAGCAACACAUAUCAACACAAUCUGUAUAACCAUGAAAACCACAACAGCUUCGGUGUUUCUUCUUUUCAUCAUCUUCUCAAUCACACCAUCGUCCUUUUCGUUUGGUGUGGCCAACUCUACAAACGCUCCUGUGCUCGACAGUGAUGGCAACGAGCUCCGCACGGGCACCCCAUACUUCGUUGUGUCGUCGAUAUGGGGUGCUGGUGGUGGGGGGCUUGCCCUAGGCAUGCCUAGCGGAAACCCAUGCCCGGAAGUCGUUGCUCAAAGAGGAUCCGGUGACGAUGGUAUUCCGGUGAUAUUUUCUAAUUCGGACUCCAACGAUGGCGUUGUUCGCCUAUCCUCUGACAUAAACAUAGAGUUCAUUCCCCUCAGACCCAAACUUUGCCGAACAACAACGGUGUGGAAGGUCGAUGAUUACGACCACUCAGCCGGAAAAUGGUGGGUGAUAACCGAUGGGGUUAAAGGGAACCCGGGUGCCAACACUUUGACCAGUUGGUUUAGAAUAGAGAAGUUGGGUGAUCUUGAUUACACAUUUAAGUACUGCCCCGCAGUAUGUGGAACAUGCCCAGCUUUAUGCAACGAAAUUGUGAGAGACUCAGAUGGAGAAAUGAUACGUUUGGCUCUCUCCAAUGGCCAUGGAUGGCAAUUUUACUUUAAGAAAGUUGAAACAUCAGCCAUGGAGAUUCAACAAGUUCAUAAUUAGAUUGAAAGCAAUCAUUAUGCAUGAACUAGUAGUUACUAUACAUUAUUACCUUCAAGUAAAUAAUGCCGAGAGAACUGAUUGUUAAUUAAGAUUGCCUUGUUUGAAGCAGCAGCAUGA
rnacentral:lncRNA from 1 species